GCCUUCGUGGUAUAGUGGUCAGCACACUGAGCCGGUAUUUCAGAGGUCCGCGGUUCGAUUCCCGGCGAAGGAA
rnacentral:tRNA from 1 species